UAAAUAUUUGNAGAAUGCAUGAAUGCCAGG
rnacentral:piRNA from 1 species